AUACGUAGGGUGCAAGCGUUAAUCGGAAUUACUGGGCGUAAAGCGUGCGCAGGCGGUUUUGUAAGACAGAGGUGAAAUCCCCGGGCUCAACCUGGGAACCGCCUUUGUGACUGCAAGGCUAGAGUACGGCAGAGGGGGAUGGAAUUCCGCGUGUAGCAGUGAAAUGCGUAGAUAUGCGGAGGAAAACCGAUGGCGAAGGCAAUCCCCUGGGCCUGUACGGACGCUCAUGCACGAAAGCGUGGGGAGCAAACAGGAUUAGAUACCCUGUUCGUCCACGCCCUAAACGAUGUCAACUGGUUGUUGGGUCUUCAUUGACUCAGUAACGAAGCUAACGCGUGAAGUUGACCGCCUGGGGAGUACGGCCGCAAGGUUGAAACUCAAAGGAAUUGACGGGG
rnacentral:rRNA from 1 species